UCAUUUUCAAGUGAUAUCAUUGUAUUCAUCAAAAAGUCAAAAAAUUCUAUGGAAGAGAUAUUAGAAAUAAAUGAAUUUAGCAAACUGACUAUAUAAAAAUCAUAUUUUUGUGUAUAACCAACAGAUAGAAAUAUUAAGUGAUACCAGGACAAUUGUACCCUUUCUGGAUUGGGUAGCAUUGGCCAGACUUACCCUCCCACCUGACAAAAUUGGGUAAAAGAAAACAAAAAUAAUUAUUUUCAAGUCACUGCAUUGUGAUGGUUACACAGGUAUAUUUGUUAAAUUGUAUCAAGUUGUACAAUUCAAAUAUGUGCAUUUUAAAUACUGUUUUACAUUGCUGUUAAAUUUAUAACAAGCCUAAAACAGUACCAGUAAUCUAAGAACUAAGAAAAAAAAAAGAAAAAAGAAGAAAUCUAAAAACUGCAUCACAAAAUUGAGAACUUAAAAGACAAAAAGGACUUUUGAUGACUUUGAAGUCUGGUUUCUUCCCAGAUUGGUUGAUUCAGUGCUGCCCUAAUCACCAUCCAACAGCUGGUUUUGUUGUUGGAAAUUAGCAAGUUUGAAUGUAAAUAGUAUAUGCAGAUUCAGUGACCACCAACAGCUAUGUCAAUCUGAAAAUGGCAAAGUCAGUCUACAGGACUUAGAGGGCUAAAUAACAAGACUGUUACAGGCACACCUCAGAGUCACUGUGGGCUUGACGGUGGGCUUUGUUUU